rnacentral:rRNA from 1 species
AUUGAACGCUGGCGGCAGGCCUAACACAUGCAAGUCGAGCGGCAGCGGGAAAGUAGCUUGCUACUUUUGCCGGCGAGCGGCGGACGGGUGAGUAAUGCCUGGGAAAUUGCCCAGUCGAGGGGGAUAACAGUUGGAAACGACUGCUAAUACCGCAUACGCCCUACGGGGGAAAGCAGGGGACCUUCGGGCCUUGCGCGAUUGGAUAUGCCCAGGUGGGAUUAGCUAGUUGGUGAGGUAAUGGCUCACCAAGGCGACGAUCCCUAGCUGGUCUGAGAGGAUGAUCAGCCGCACUGGAACUGAGACACGGUCCAGACUCCUACGGGAGGCAGCAGUGGGGAAUAUUGCACAAUGGGGGAAACCCUGAUGCAGCCAUGCCGCGUGUGUGAAGAAGGCCUUCGGGUUGUAAAGCACUUUCAGCGAGGAGGAAAGGUUGAUGCCUAAUACGUAUCAACUGCGACGUUACUCGCAGAAGAAGCACCGGCUAACUCCGUGCCAGCAGCCGCCGUAA